rnacentral:rRNA from 1 species
UACGAAGGGGGCUAGCGUUGCUCGGAAUCACUGGGCGUAAAGGGUGCGUAGGCGGAUCUUUAAGUCGGGGUGAAAGCCCAGGGCUCAACCCUGGAAUUGCCUUCGAUACUGGAGAUCUUGAGACCGGAAGAGGUAAGUGGAACUGCGAGUGUAGAGGUGAAAUUCGUAGAUAUUCGCAAGAACACCAGUGGCGAAGGCGGCUUACUGGUCCGGUUCUGACGCUGAGGUGCGAAAGCGUGGGGAGCAACA